UACGGGGGGUGCAAGCGUUAUUCGGAAUUAUUGGGCGUAAAGCGCGCGUAGGCGGCUGAAUAAGUCAGCUGUGAAAGCUCUUGGCUUAACCAAGGAAGUGCAGUUGAUACUAUUUGACUUGAGUAUGGGCGAGGGAAGUGGAAUUCCUGGUGUAGAGGUGAAAUUCGUAGAUAUCAGGAGGAACACCGGUGGCGAAAGCGACUUCCUGGACCAUUACUGACGCUGAGGCGCGAAAGCGUGGGGAGCAAAUAGG
rnacentral:rRNA from 1 species